AGAGUUUGAUCAUGGCUCAGAUUGAACGCUGGCGGCAGGCCUAACACAUGCAAGUCGAGCGGAAACGAUCCUAGCUUGCUAGGAGGCGUCGAGCGGCGGACGGGUGAGUAAUGCAUAGGAAUCUGCGGUAGUGGGGGAUAACCUGAGGAAACUCAGGCUAAUACCGCAUACGUCCUACGGGAGAAAGCAGGGGCUCUUCGGACCUUGCGCUAUCGGAUGAGCUUAUGUCGGAUUAGCUGGUUGGUGAGGUAACGGCUCACCAAGGCGACGAUCCGUAGCUGGUCUGAGAGGAUGAUCAGCACAUCGGGACUGAGACACGGCCCGAACUCCUACGGGAGGCAGCAGUGGGGAAUAUUGGACAAUGGGGGCAACCCUGAUCCAGCCAUGCCGCGUGUGUGAAGAAGGCCCUCGGGUUGUAAAGCACUUUCAGUGAGGAAGAAGGCUUGUCGGUUAAUACCCGGCAAGAAAGACAUCACUCACAGAAGAAGCACCGGCUAACUCCGUGCCAGCAGCCGCGGUAAUACGGAGGGUGCGAGCGUUAAUCGGAAUUACUGGGCGUAAAGCGUGCGUAGGCGGCUUGAUAAGCCGGUUGUGAAAGCCCCGGGCUCAACCUGGGAACGGCAUCCGGAACUGUCAGGCUAGAGUGCAGGAGAGGAAGGUAGAAUUCCCGGUGUAGCGGUGAAAUGCGUAGAGAUCGGGAGGAAUACCAGUGGCGAAGGCGGCCUUCUGGACUGACACUGACGCUGAGGUACGAAAGCGUGGGUAGCAAACAGGAUUAGAUACCUGGUAGUCCACGCCGUAAACGAUGUCGACUAGCCGUUGGGGUCCUCGAGACCUUUGUGGCGCAGUUAACGCACUAAGUCGACCGCCUGGGGAGUACGGCCGCAAGGUUAAAACUCAAAUGAAUUGACGGGGGCCCGCACAAGCGGUGGAGCAUGUGGUUUAAUUCGAUGCAACGCGAAGAACCUUACCUACCCUUGACAUCGUGCGAACUUUCCAGAGAUGGAUUGGUGCCUUCGGGAACGCACAGACAGGUGCUGCAUGGCUGUCGUCAGCUCGUGUUGUGAAAUGUUGGGUUAAGUCCCGUAACGAGCGCAACCCUUGUCCCUAUUUGCCAGCGAUUCGGUCGGGAACUCUAGGGAGACUGCCGGUGACAAACCGGAGGAAGGUGGGGACGACGUCAAGUCAUCAUGGCCUUACGGGUAGGGCUACACACGUGCUACAAUGGCCGGUACAAUGGGUUGCAAAGCGGCGACGUGGAGCUAAUCCCAUAAAGCCGGUCUCAGUCCGGAUCGGAGUCUGCAACUCGACUCCGUGAAGUCGGAAUCGCUAGUAAUCGUGCAUCAGAAUGGCACGGUGAAUACGUUCCCGGGCCUUGUACACACCGCCCGUCACACCAUGGGAGUGGACUGCACCAGAAGUGGUUAGCCUAACUUCGGAGGGCGAUCACCACGGUGUGGUUCAUGACUGGGGUGAAGUCGUAACAAGGUAGCCGUAGGGGAACCUGCGGCUG
rnacentral:rRNA from 1 species